GCGAUUCUGAGCACUGACCUGCGCCCAGAUUGUCUGUAUGUCUAGAAAUCUCCUCCCUGUUUACAGAGAUGUUCCUCAAACCGUGGCAAGUUGUUGCUGCUGCCCUAAAGUAAUCAGUACAAGUCAUUUGUUGUAAGUACAUCAAUUUAACUACAGUGAACUUCAUUUGCUAUUACUGUGCUAUGUGUAUUUUAAGGGUUUUCUUUAACUAUUCCAUUCAUACAUUUCUGGGUUA
rnacentral:lncRNA from 1 species